rnacentral:rRNA from 1 species
UACGUAGGGGGCUAGCGUUGUCCGGAAUCAUUGGGCGUAAAGCGCGUGUAGGCGGUCCGGUAAGUCCGCUGUGAAAGUCGGGGGGCUCAACCCUCGGAUGCCGGUGGAUACUGUCGGGCUUGAGUACGGAAGAGGCGAGUGGAAUUCCUGGUGUAGCGGUGAAAAUGCGCAGAUAUCAGGAGGAACACCAAUUGCGAAGGCAGCUCGCUGGGACGUUACUGACGCUGAGACGCGAAAGCGUGGGGAGCGAACCGGAUAG